rnacentral:lncRNA from 1 species
AUAAAUAUCGACUAAAAAAUCCAUCAAUAAAAAGAACGAAAAUUUUCUCGUCCAUUUUUUCUCUUUAUCUGAGACACGUCAUUUCUUUCUCUUUCUUGUAGGUCUUCAUCUUCCUUUUUCUCGCAUGAGGUAGACCUUAUCUUCCCUCGCUUCCUCUAUCUUAACUCAGACCACCGUAAUUACAAGCUCAUUUGACACGCCUUCAUCUCUGUUGAAUCAGGUCGUCGUUUUCGUCUUCAUCAACGUCAUCGCAUUUCAGGUCUUUCACUCCAUCUUCUUCUUCUCUAACACACGCAGAGGAUGGACAAUGCCUCUAUUUUCUCUCUUCCACGCUAAGAUGCAUCCAAGCAUUGGCACCUCUAUGCAAUGUCGUCGUUGUCCGCUCUAAAUCCAGCCAAAGCCACUGUUUAUCACUACCC